GCAAGACCUUGCGCGAAUGGAGCGGCCGAUGGCAGAUUAGGUNGUUGGUGAGGUAAAGGCUCACCAAGCCUUCGAUCUGUAGCUGGUCUGANAGGACGACCAGCCACACUGGGACUGAGACACGGCCCAGACUCCUACGGGAGGCAGCAGUGGGGAAUUUUGGACAAUGGGCGCAAGCCUGAUCCAGCCAUGCCGCGUGCAGGAUGAAGGCCUUCGGGUUGUAAACUGCUUUUGUACGGAACGAAACGGCCUUUUCUAAUAAAGAGGGCUAAUGACGGUACCGUAAGAAUAAGCACCGGCUAACUACGUGCCAGCAGCCGCGGUAAUACGUAGGGUGCAAGCGUUAAUCGGAAUUACUGGGCGUAAAGCGUGCGCAGGCGGUGAUGACAGUUGUGAAAUCCCCGGGCUCAACCUGGGAACUGCAUCUGUGACUGCAUUG
rnacentral:rRNA from 1 species